rnacentral:tRNA from 1 species
GCCGAUGUAGCUCAACUGGAAGAGCAACUGACUUGUAAUCAGUAGGUUGCCAGUUCGAGUCUGGCCAUCGGCU